rnacentral:rRNA from 1 species
CAGUAGCCACGGGAAUACGAAGGGUGCAAGCGUUACUCGGAAUUACUGGGCGUAAAGCGUGCGUAGGUGGUGGUUUAAGUCCGUUGUGAAAGCCCUGGGCUCAACCUGGGAAUUGCAGUGGAUACUGGGUCACUAGAGUGUGGUAGAGGAUAGUGGAAUUUCCGGUGUAGCAGUGAAAUGCGUAGAGAUCGGAAGGAACAUCUGUGGCGAAGGCGACUAUCUGGACCAACACUGACACUGAGGCACGAAAGCGUGGGGAGCAAACAGGAUUAGAUACCCGCGUAGUCCCUGUCUCUUAUAA